GAUGAAGAACGCAGCGAAAUGCGACAAGUAAUGUGAAUUGCAGAAUUCAGUGAAUCAUCGAAUCUUUGAACGCACCUUGCGCCCUUUGGUAUUCCGAAGGGCAUGCCUGUUUGAGUGUCAUGAAACCUCACCCCACUUGGGUUUUUGCCUGAGCGGUGGUGUAUUGGGUGUUGCCUUGCUAAAGGCUCGCCUUAAAGACAUAAGCACCUUGGAUGUAAUACGUUUCAUCCUUCUGGGUGGCUGAUAACCCCACAUAUUCAUGAUCUGGCCUCAAAUCAGGUAGGGCUACCCGCUGAACUUAAGCAUAUCAAUAAGCGGAGGA
rnacentral:misc_RNA from 1 species